CCUACGGGAGGCAGCAGUGGGGAAUAUUGGACAAUGGGCGAAAGCCUGAUCCAGCAAUGCCGCGUGAGUGAUGAAGGCCUUAGGGUCGUAAAGCUCUUUUACCAGGGAUGAUAAUGACAGUACCUGGAGAAUAAGCUCCGGCUAACUCCGUGCCAGCAGCCGCGGUAAUACGGAGGGAGCUAGCGUUGUUCGGAAUUACUGGGCGUAAAGCGUGCGUAGGCGGUUAUUCAAGUCAGAGGUGAAAGCCCGGGGCUCAACCCCGGAACGGCCUUUGAAACUAGAUAACUAGAAUCUUGGAGAGGUCAGUGGAAUUCCGAGUGUAGAGGUGAAAUUCGUAGAUAUUCGGAAGAACACCAGUGGCGAAGGCGACUGACUGGACAAGUAUUGACGCUGAGGUACGAAAGCGUGGGGAGCAAACAGGAUUAGAUACCCUGGUAGUCCACGCCGUAAACGAUGAUAACUAGCUGUCCGGACACUCGGUGUUUGGGUGGCGCAGCUAACGCAUUAAGUUAUCCGCCUGGGGAUACGGUCGCAAGNUUAAACCUUAAUGAAUUGACGG
rnacentral:rRNA from 1 species